rnacentral:rRNA from 1 species
UNUGACUUGAGUGCAGAAGGGGAGAGUGGAAUUCCAUGUGUAGCGGUGAAAUGCGUAGAUAUAUGGAGGANCACCAGUGGCGAAAGCGGCUCUCUGGUCUGUCACUGACGCUGAGGCUCGAAAGCGUGGGUAGCGAACAGGAUUAGAUACCCUGGUAGUCCACGCCGUAAACGAUGAGUGCUAGGUGUUAGGCCCUUUCCGGGGCUUAGUGCCGGAGCUAACGCAAUAAGCACUCCGCCUGGGGAGUACGACCGCAAGGUUGAAACUCAAAGGAAUUGACGGGGGCCCGCACAAGCGGUGGAGCAUGUGGUUUAAUUCGAAGCAACGCGAAGAACCUUACCAGGUCUUGACAUCCCGAUGCUAUUCUUAGAGAUAGGAAGUUACUUCGGUACAUCGGAGACAGGUGGUGCAUGGUUGUCGUCAGCUCGUGUCGUGAGAUGUUGGGUUAAGUCCCGCAACGAGCGCAACCCUUAUUGUUAGUUGCCAUCAUUAAGUUGGGCACUCUAGCGAGACUGCCGGUAAUAAACCGGAGGAAGGUGGGGAUGACGUCAAAUCAUCAUGCCCCUUAUGACCUGGGCUACACACGUGCUACAAUGGUCGGUACAACGAGUUGCAAGCCGGUGACGGCAAGCUAAUCUUUGAAAGCCGAUCUCAGUUCGGAUUGGAGGCUGCAACUCGCCUCCAUGAAGUCGGAAUCGCUAGUAAUCGCGGAUCAGCACGCCGCGGUGAAUACGUUCCCGGGCCUUGUACACACCGCCCGUCACACCACGAGAGUUUGUAACACCCGAAGUCGGUGAGGUAACCUUUUAGGGGCCAGCC